AUUGAACGCUGGCGGCAUGCUUAACGCAUGCAAGUCGAACGGUAACAGGUCUAGCUUGCUAGAUGCUGACGAGUGGCGGACGGGUGCGUAACGCGUGGAAAUCUACCUAUUAGUUUGGGACAACCUGAGGAAACUCAGGCUAAUACCGGAUGUGGUCUAGGGACUAAAGGUUGCCUUUCCUUGGAAGCAAUCGCUAAUAGAUGAGUCCGCGUUGGAUUAGCUAGAUGGUGGGGUAAAGGCUUACCAUGGCGACGAUCCAUAGCUGGUUUGAGAGGAUGAUCAGCCACACUGGGACUGAGACACGGCCCAG
rnacentral:rRNA from 1 species